rnacentral:rRNA from 1 species
GAUCCUGGCUCAGGACGAACGCUGGCGGCGUGCUUAACACAUGCAAGUCGAACGAGAAUCUGCGGAACGAGGAUUCGUCCAAGUGAAGCAGAUGACAGUGGCGGACGGGUGAGUAACGCGUGAGGAACCUGCCUUUCAGAGGGGGACAACAGUUGGAAACGACUGCUAAUACCGCAUGACACAUAGAUGUCGCACGGCAUUUAUGUCAAAGAUUUAUCGCUGAAAGA